rnacentral:rRNA from 1 species
UACAUGAGGUGCAAACGUUACCCGGAAUCAUUGGGCGUAAAGCGUCCGCAGGUGGUUCCUUAAGUCUGAUGUAAAAUCUUGAGGCUCAACUUCAAGUCUGCGUCUGAAACUAAGGAACUAGAGUAUUGGAGGGGUGAGUGGAAUUCUACAUGUAGGGGUAAAAUCCGUAGAUAUGUAGAGGAACACCAAAAGCGAAGGCAGCUCACUGGCCAAUUACUGACACUCAGGGACGAAAGCGUGGGGAGCAAACGGG